GCUGGGCUGGCAGAGCGCAAGGAACUGUGGAGUGUGUGUGAGCUGCGCCUCUGACGGUGCUGUUCUUGAAAGGCAUUGCGAGGACCACGCUCGUCACCAGCAUUAGGGCGUGGCAGCCGAAGAGAGUCAGCUCAGCCGAGUACAAGAGGGACCAACACGCCCCGAUGAGUAUCACCUCUUGCAGCGCCACCAGCAGGCUCCAGCCCAACCAGGGGAAGCUGAGACGACGCCGCCCCUGGAAUAAAGGGAAUUGGGGUCUGUUCUGCUUCGAGCGACUGCCGCUAGAGUCGCUAGGGGACCAUCGUUGGCUCCAAAUAAUCGCAUGGCUACGGGGUGAAUAUAAUCGCAUUCGGAAACGAACAUUUUAAGUGGAAGGAGUGUCUCUAUCAUCAUGGCUCCUAGGUUUUCCGACGAA